rnacentral:rRNA from 1 species
CUUUACACAUGCAAGUCGAACGGUAACGAGGGAGCUUGCUCCGCUGACGAGUGGCGAACGGGUGAGUAAUGCAUCGGAACGUACCCAGUCGUGGGGGAUAACGUAGCGAAAGUUACGCUAAUACCGCAUACGUCCUGAGGGAGAAAGCGGGGGACCGUAAGGCCUCGCGCGAUUGGAGCGGCCGAUGUCGGAUUAGCUAGUUGGUAGGGUAAAGGCCUACCAAGGCGACGAUCCGUAGCGGGUCUGAGAGGAUGAUCCGCCACACUGGGACUGAGACACGGCCCAGACUCCUACGGGAGGCAGCAGUGGGGAAUCUUGCGCAAUGGGCGAAAGCCUGACGCAGCGACGCCGCGUGAGUGAUGAAGGCCUUCGGGUUGUAAAGCUCUGUGGAGGGGGACGAAUAAGGGUUGGCUAACAUCCAGCUCGAUGACGGUACCCCUUUAGCAAGCACCGGCUAACUCUGUGCCAGCAGCCGCGGUAAGACAGAGGGUGCAAACGUUGUUCGGAAUUACUGGGCGUAAAGCGCGU